AUUUAUUGAAUAAAUAUUAGUAGUACUCAUUUAGAAAGAAUCUAGAGGCGCGAGGAAGUCAUUCCAAUUUAGGACCCUUCCUUUGAGGAGAACCUCUUCCCCCGCAAAACUGUUUUUCCUCCACAGAUUUAAUCUUUUUUCCUCAACUUUUCGUGUUUCGUUUCCCCAGAAAAACAAAAGACAAAAUAAAAUAAAAUAAAAAUCCCCCAAAUAAAAUUUCCAUGAAAUUUUCCUAAUUGCCAUCAACCUGUUGGAAUUCCUGGAGUUUCUUUGUUUCUCAAAUCAACUCUGUGGAUUCCAACAGCCCAAAAUUCUCUAUCCAAUCCAGCGUAAAUCAGAUUCCCCCAAGACAAACAUGUCCGCCACCUGUUUGACGAAUUUCCCCAAAGAAAUUCGCUCAUAAAAUUUGCAAUCUUCAUUCAUUACACCAAGGUAAAAACAAAAGGAAUCACGAAUGGCGAGCAUCCGCAGCUCUUCCCGGGCGUAUUCGAUAUCCUCGGCGCAUCAGUCUCCGGCGAGAUCAACCGAUCACAAAAUCCCGCAGUGCACGGUGACGUGCGUGUACCAGACGCCCAUCGCCGGCUACUGGCGCAACGUGACUGUGGUGUGGAGCAAGAACAUCAUGGUGAACUCGGUCUGCAUCUCCGUGGACAGCGUGGAGCGCGAUCAAGUCUGCACGUGCAAGCUCGAGCUUAAACCCUGGCAUUUCUGGGCAAGAAAAGGCUACAAAACUUUCAUGGUCGAUGGGACCCAGCUCGAGCUCUACUGGGAUUUCCGAUCAGCCAAAUUCACCGGCCCCGAGCCGAAUAAAGACUUCUACGUUGCGUUAGUCUCCGACGAGGAGCUCGUGUUAUUGCUCGGGGACAUGGAGAAGAAGGCGCAGAAGCGGACCAAAGCCCGGCCGGCAUUGGUGGAGGCGCUGAUGUUCUACAAAGAAGAGCAUGUUUUCGGCAAGAAGUCGUUCUCCACGAGGGCGAGGUUCGAUCAUCAGAGCAAGGAGCACGACGUGGUGGUGGAGAGCUCGACCUCGGGGAAUAAGGAUCCGGAGAUGUGGAUUAGCAUAGAUGGGAUUGUGUUGAUACACAUUAGGAACUUGCAGUGGAAAUUUAGGGGCAACCAGACUGUCAUGGUCAACAAGCAGCCGGUGCAGGUCUUCUGGGAUGUCUACGCGUGGCUCUUCUGCCACCCCGGAGCUGACCACGGGCUCUUCAUCUUCAAGCCCGGUGGUGGUGGGGAUGGGGACAGUGAUGGGGAAGACGACACUCAGUGUGAUGGCAGCGACUGCAGCGGCCCCAGCAAGUACUACUCCACGAGGAGCUACUCAAAGGCCGCGGAGACGUGCUUCUUUCUGUACGCAUGGAAGAUUGAGUGAGACAGAAAGAGAGGCUUAAAGGAGGCAAGGAGUGUUUAAAGACAAGGUUGGUGUGAUCUUGUGAGGUUUGUUAGGAUUAACGCGUUCUACCAAAGGCUGACCGGCUGAUCUUGACCUAUACUUCCCUACUGCUCAGCAGAAAUGUCAAGGAGAAACUCUUUAAGCAAACAGGGUCCAUUUUUUUGAGAAUAGAAAAUCAAGAAUUCAAGCAUAUCUUGAGUUACACCAAUUAUUUUUUUUUCCUGAUAUUAAUACACCAAUUUUGAUUCUGGUUCAUGACAAAUGACUGACUAUACCUUGUGUCUGCUCCAUACGUCGAAUGAGUGCAGGGCUGCCAUUACAAGAAGUUUUGAAGCUACAGAAAUCUAUGUAACAGAAGAUCACCAUUUUGUUUGUUUCAGGCAAGUUAGAAAUGUAAAUAAACGUCAAAUAUAUAUGAUGGAAACCGAUUAUUGCAGACAAACUGUGAAAAAGAGCAGCAUUUUGGAUACUAUUUCAUCAAUAUAUACCCUCAUCAUCAUUUCAUCUA